UACAGAGGGGGCAAGCGUUGUUCGGAAUUACUGGGCGUAAAGGGCGCGUAGGCGGCCUGCUAAGUCGAACGUGAAAUCCCCGGGCUCAACCCGGGAACUGCGUCCGAUACUGGCAGGCUUGAAUCCGGGAGAGGGAUGCGGAAUUCCAGGUGUAGCGGUGAAAUGCGUAGAUAUCAGGAGGAACACCGAUGGCGAAGGCAGAUCUCUGGGCCGUAACUGACGCUGAGGAGCGAAAGCAUGGGGAGCGAACAGG
rnacentral:rRNA from 1 species